CAAAAUUUGCUUGAGACAAAAAGAGGAUCUUUUAUUGAUGAUGAUGUAAAUAUUUACAGACUUUUGAUGUACUGAUACUGAAUCUACUGAAAGUACUUUCUAAGCCUGCCAGCAUGCCAAGUGUUUUUAAUUACUGACCCAUCUAAUACUUUCAAACGAUAAGUCCCUGGCUUCGGAACUUCAGUGAUUUCGUAGGGUCCUUCCAAUUUGGCAUCAGCUUACCCAGGUUCUGAGGCGUAGAUGCUUCGACUUCUCUAAGGACAAAAUCUCCCACUUCAAAUCUGCGAAGCUUCACCCCCUUAUUAUAAUGUUUAGUCACUCUUCGUUGAUAGGCCGCCAAUUUGAUUAAGGCUAUUUCUCUGACUUCUUCCAACAAAUCAAGAUUGGCCCUCAGCCCUUCUUCAUUAUAGACCUCUUGGAAAUGACUAACUCGAAGACUUGGAGAUCCAAUUUCAACUGGGACUAAGGCAUCAGUACCAUAAGCUAGUCUGAAAGGUGAAUCCCCCGUUGUAGUCCUUGGAGUAGUUCGAUAAGCCCAUAGUACACUUAGCAACUCUUCUGGCCAUCUGCCUUUAGCUUCGUCCAACCUACGCUUGAUCCCAUUCAGCAACGUUCUUUUGGUUACUUCAACCUGUC
rnacentral:lncRNA from 1 species